CAGUGGGUCCUAGAGGACACCUGCCUUUCCUAUGGGUAUUUGGCAAAUUUUUUUUAAUCUUAAAAAGGGACCUUAUACUUUUAUUAUUUUUUUAUUAUAGUUUUUUAUUUGCAAGAUAUAUGCGUGGGUAAUUUUUCAGCACUGACCCUUGCAAACCCUUUUGUUCCAACUUUUCCCCUCCUUCCCCCCACCCCCUCCCCCAGAUGUUAAAGACCUCAUACUUUUCAAAGUUGGGAGCCUCUGGCUUUAAAGCACCUUAGAGCCCUGCUAGCCCCGAGGUGUUAGGGCUUCCAGGAAGACUUUCACUUCCCCCCACACCCUUUAGUAGGUGGUAGCCGCAGAGGCAGCGCCGGGAGCUAGAAAAGCCCUCAGGAAGGACGCGUUAGAAGCAGGUUUGCAUCCAAUUCUGGAGAACGAGUCUAGAAUUUGAAGUAGCGCUUCCCCUGCUUGCUGAGCUCUGUGACCAGGGGCACCGCGACCUGAACGUGCCUUUCUUCCUCUUAAAGGGACUGGAGACCCUUUGUAAGAAAGGCAGGGAAGGAGGGUGGAAGGUGAAGGAGAAGGAAUCCCCUCCCCCAUUCCCCUUCCCCCCGCCUCCGGCAGACGGGGCUGAGAGAGGCAGGGCCGCAAGAAAAGGAGGAAGGCCAGAUGGAGAGAGAGAGAGAGGGAGACUUUACGCCAAUGAAAAGCCCCUGAGAGCCCUAGAGAGGCCCGAGGCGGCGCGCCCUUCUGGGAGGUAGGGACCUAGGCAGGUGAGUUAGGAAAGGAUGGAGAGCAAAGGUGCCCGCGGCCCACGCAGCCAAUCCGCAAGCCGCUCUCGUGUCACGUGUCCGGUUGCUGGGUUGUUUUCCUCAGUCCUGGGGCUGCGCGCGUUCCCCGCCCCUCGCUUACGGCUUCUCGGUGUUGGGGUUCGGACCGUUAGGUUCCUCCUCCAUUUCCUCCUGGGGCUCGGGAGGCUCCCAGGAGCACAGGGGGAGAGAGAGCGCGAAGAGAGGGGAAGGAGAGAGCUGGAGUGGGAGGACCCUUUCCCUGAGGUGUCUGAGGAAUAACGGCGAUAACACCUUCCCGCGCGGCCCUAACGCUCAUAGAACGCUUUAUUCGCACCCAUCCCGUAGCCUUGUAGCGCGUGUCCAUCUCUCUAGAUCUACAUAGAGACAGCCACAGCUAUGGCCAGAUGCAGCAGAGUAUGACCGAACACUGACUUAGAGAGACGAAUAAACUGAGUCCUGAAGAGGGGAAGUGACUUGGCUGGCGUUCCCCCAGUGGCAAAAUCCAGCUGGAGCCCAACUCACCUGUGUCUCCCUUCCUCAGGGAACAGGUGUAAUCAACUGGAAUAAAGUAAUUUAUAAUAAAGGGAUUAAAGACCUAA